rnacentral:rRNA from 1 species
AACACGUGGGCGAUCUGCCCUGCACUUCGGGAUAAGCCUGGGAAACUGGGUCUAAUACCGGAUAGGACCACGGGAUUCAUGUCCUGUGGUGGAAAGCUUUUGCGGUGUGGGAUGGGCCCGCGGCCUAUCAGCUUGUUGGUGGGGUAACGGCCUACCAAGGCGACGACGGGUAGCCGGCCUGAGAGGGUGUCCGGCCACACUGGGACUGAGAUACGGCCCAGACUCCUACGGGAGGCAGCAGUGGGGAAUAUUGCACAAUGGGCGCAAGCCUGAUGCAGCGACGCCGCGUGGGGGAUGACGGCCUUCGGGUUGUAAACCUCUUUCACCAUCGACGAAGGUUCGGGUUUUCUCGGAUUGACGGUAGGUGGAGAAGAAGCACCGGCCAACUACGUGCCAGCAGCCGCGGUAAUACGUAGGGUGCGAGCGUUGUCCGGAAUUACUGGGCGUAAAGAGCUCGUAGGUGGUUUGUCGCGUUGUUCGUGAAAUCUCACGGCUUAACUGUGAGCGUGCGGGCGAUACGGGCAGACUAGAGUACUGCAGGGGAGACUGGAAUUCCUGGUGUAGCGGUGGAAUGCGCAGAUAUCAGGAGGAACACCGGUGGCGAAGGCGGGUCUCUGGGCAGUAACUGACGCUGAGGAGCGAAAGCGUGGGGAGCGAACAGGAUUAGAUACCCUGGUAGUCCACGCCGUAAACGGUGGGUACUAGGUGUGGGUUUCCUUCCUUGGGAUCCGUGCCGUAGCUAACGCAUUAAGUACCCCGCCUGGGGAGUACGGCCGCAAGGCUAAAA